UGGGGAAUAUUGGACAAUGGGCGCAAGCCUGAUCCAGCCAUGCCGCGUGAGUGAUGAAGGCCCUAGGGUUGUAAAGCUCUUUCACCGGUGAAUAUAAUGACGGUAACCGGAGAAGAAGCCCCGGCCAACUUCGUGCCAGCAGCCGCGGUAAUACGAAGGGGGCUAGCGUUGUUCGGUUUUACUGGGCGUAAAGCGCACGUAGGCGGACUUUUAAGUCAGGGGUGAAAUCCCGGGGCUCAACCCCGGAACUGCAUUUGAUCCUGGAAGUCUUGAGUAGUGUAGAGGUGAGUGGAAUUCCGAGUGUAGAGGUGAAAUUCGUAGAUAUUCGUAGGAACACCAGUGGCGAAGGCGGCUCACUGGACCAUUACUGACGCUGAGGUGCGAAAGCGUGGGGAGCAAACAGG
rnacentral:rRNA from 1 species